AGGGAUGCAGAUUGCCUGAACUGGUGAAGGAAACAAGGCUGGGGAUAGGUGUCCCUCCUUUAACGAAGCAGUUUUGAAGAAGUGCUUCCAGGCAAACAAGCCUUCACACUUCUUGCUAACAAAUGCUGACACUAAGUGUGCUCUGAACAUCCCCAGGAUGCAGGAGAUGUUACCAAGUCUCUCCUGUGGCUCUGCAGGAACACUGCUGGGGCAUCUGGCCCCCAGUGUGUGCAUGGGGAACGCCUCCCCAGCCCGCUGAGUGCUGCUCGGUCAGAGCGUGGGCACGGCGGCAAUCACCAUCUGUGGAAAGCACAAGUGCCACAGCAGGGAACAGGAAACAAGAACAUGCUGCAGGAACAACGCCGGUGUGCACCGAGAAACGGAGGAGCUGGCAUGUGUGACUGACAUCAAUCAGAGUCAAAAAUUCGCAGCUGAACUUGGAGAGAGAAGGAUUAAGUGUUCUCCAGGAAUGGCUGAAAGAAGAGGAGCACUGGACUGCUGGGCUCCCUUGAGAAAACCAGGAUCCCUGGCUCAUUUCUAGGAAUCACUUGGUGAUGUGCAGACACUCCACAAGUAAGGGUUACGUAGGGACACAAUGGAAAUUCAACAGCUAGAAGACAUCACCCUCAAUGUCUUUCAUCAGAGCCACACUCUUCAGAGCAGAUGAUGAGAUCCUGAUGCCUGUUUCCCUGAUCUGCCCAGAAGGGAGAUCUGUCAGAUCAGGUGAGGCAGAUCAAGCGAGGCCAGAGCCAUUCCCUGUCCUGCACCACGGAGGAAGAGGAGUGGGUGCACAUCCAGAACUGGAUGGGGCUGAGGGACAGGGAACUGCCAGGUGAGAUUAGCCUUUUCCAGGAGAGGAAGAGAGUUCCAGGGGUGUGGAACUCAAGCUGGGGGAAUUCCUGCAGGAUCCAGCCCCGUGGGAGUGGCUCAGAAGUGGGUCAGGAUGCCAGGCUGCCAGCAAGCCCUGAGGCAAGCCCUGCUGUGGUGCCAGAUGGGUGCCUUGCUCCUCACACCAGCCUGGGGCUUGCCCAGAGCUGCUGGGACCCACAUGGCCUUGGGGUCACAUCCCCUGCCUCGUGUGCAGGCUGCAGACUGGCUCAGGUCGGGUGCUGGGCCUCCCUCUCACUUGUGCUUCCACUGUAGGUGUUGGCAAGUAUGGAAAUUUCAUAUGGAAAAACUUUGAUGGCCACGUUCCCCACCCAGUCCCUAUAAAGUGCCCCAUUCCUGAAGCACUUUCACUGAAGGAAAUGCUUGCUCUGUGACCCAAGGGGUCUUCAAAAUGCUGCAUGUCAGGAAGAGAUGUUCUGGGUUUUUUGUUUUGUUGGGUUUUUUUUUUAAAUAUGAGCCAUUAAUCCAACAGGGUUGGCACAAUGCUGACUUGGACCACGUUGCUGGGACCCCAUUGUUGUCUGUGCAGGCUGUGCCAAGGGGAAAGGUCUCCCUCUCCAUAGCUGAAAUGAAGCUGGAAUCUCCUCCCACCACCCAAGAAGGAUUCUGAAUCACUCUUGCUGCUGAAUGUAAGUAGCAAUUCCCUACAUCCCUACAGCUGAUUUACUGGGAUAUAGUCCCAAAGAAGUCAGUGCUCACUGAGGCAGGUUGAGAGCACAAAUACUUAAGUCUUACAAGGUAAAAGGAACUCACUGCAGUGGCAAAAGCUCUUUCAGUGUUGGGGUGGAACAUAAAAUUUGCUGCUUCAAGGAGGCACGAUGGAUAGUUCUGCAGAUGAAUGUGAGCUUGAUGUCCCCUGAUACCCAUUAGGAGUUGUGUGAUGAACGCAAGCACUUAUUUCAGCACAGUCCACAAGCAGCUCUUCUAGCCUAAAUCUGUAUCCCAGGGCAAGAACAACAGGGAAAACUCAAGCAGAUAUGGGUACUCAAGU